AUCUUUUGAGUAUGAAAAAGUACAAUUGCCUUCCAAGCAAGAGGAUUAAUAAAAUUUAAAAAAGAUA
rnacentral:tRNA from 1 species